UACAGAGGUCCCAAGCGUUGUUCGGAUUCACUGGGCGUAAAGGGUGCGUAGGCGGUCGGGUAAGUCUGAUGUGAAAUCUCGCAGCUUAACUGCGAAACUGCAUUGGAAACUAUCUGACUAGAGGAAUGGAGGGGAGACUGGAAUACUUGGUGUAGCAGUGAAAUGCGUAGAUAUCAAGUGGAACACCAGUGGCGAAGGCGAGUCUCUGGACAUUUCCUGACGCUGAGGCACGAAAGCCAGGGGAGCAAACGGG
rnacentral:rRNA from 1 species